rnacentral:rRNA from 1 species
AGUGAACGCUGGCGGUAGGCCUAACACAUGCAAGUCGAACGGCAGCACAGUAAGAGCUUGCUCUUACGGGUGGCGAGUGGCGGACGGGUGAGGAAUACAUCGGAAUCUACUUUUUCGUGGGGGAUAACGUAGGGAAACUUACGCUAAUACCGCAUACGACCUACGGGUGAAAGCAGGGGAUCUUCGGACCUUGCGCGAUUGAAUGAGCCGAUGUCGGAUUAGCUAGUUGGCGGGGUAAAGGCCCACCAAGGCGACGAUCCGUAGCUGGUCUGAGAGGAUGAUCAGCCACGAUGGAACUGAGACACGGUCCAGACUCCUACGGGAGGCAGCAGUGGGGAAUAUUGGACAAUGGGCGCAAGCCUGAUCCAGCCAUACCGCGUGGGUGAAGAAGGCCUUCGGGUUGUAAAGCCCUUUUGUUGGGAAAGAAAAGCAGCAGGUUAAUACCCCGCUGUUCUGACGGUACCCAAAGAAUAAGCACCGGCUAACUUCGUG